UACGGGGGGAGCAAGCGUUGUUCGGAUUUACUGGGCGUAAAGGGCGCGUAGGCGGCGCAACAAGUCACUUGUGAAAUCUCCGGGCUUAACCCGGAGCGGUCAAGUGAUACUGUCGUGCUAGAGUGCGGAAGGGGCUACUGGAAUUCUCGGUGUAGCGGUGAAAUGCGUAGAUAUCGAGAGGAACACCUGCGACGAAGGCGGGUAGCUGGGCCGACACUGACGCUGAUGCGCGAAAGCCAGGGGAGCGAACGGG
rnacentral:rRNA from 1 species